AAGUCGAACGGCCUGGACUUCGGUCUGGUGGCGAGUGGCGAACGGGUGAGUAUCGGAACGUGCCUAGUGGCGGGGGAUAACUACGCGAAAGCGUGGCUAACAUACCACGCCCUUCGGGGAAAGCGGGGGACCUUCGGGCCUCGCACUAUUAGAGCGGCCGAUAUCAGGUUAGCGGUGGUGCAGGGUAACGGCUCACCAAGGCGACGAUCCGUAGCUGGUUUGAGAGGACGACCAGCCACACUGGGACGCGAGACACGGCCCAGACUCCUACGAAGGAGGCAGCAGUGGGGAAUUUUGGACAAUGGGGAAACCCUGAUUAUGCAUCCGCGUGUGCGAUGAAGGCCUUCGUUUUUGGCGGGAAAGAAACGGCGCAGGAUAAUACCCGUGCAACUGGCAAUGCCUGCAGAAUAAGCACCGGCUAACUACGUGCCAGCAGCCGCGGUAAUACGUAGGGUGCAAGCGUUAAUCGGAAUUACUGGGCGUAAAGCGCAGGCGGUUCGGAAGAAAGGUGUGAAAUCUGAAGCCCAACUGGAACUGCAUUUUUAACUACGAGCUAGAGUGUAUCAGAGGGAAUUCCGCGUGUAGCAGUGAAAUGCGUAGAUAUGCGGAGGAACACCGAUGGCGAAAGCAGCUCCUGGGGAUAACACUGACGCUCAUGCACGAAAGCGUGGGGAGCAAACAGGAUUAGAUACCCUGUUAGUCCACGCCUAAACUGAUGUCAACUAGCUGUUGGGGCCUUCGGGCCUUGUGUACAGCUAACGCGUCGAAGUUGACCGCCUGGGAAGUACGGUCGCAAGAUUAAAACUCAAAGGAAUUGACGGGGACCCGCACAAGCGGUGGAUGAUGUGGAUUAAUUCGAUGCAACGCGAAAAAGUGCCACCUACCCUUGACGCCACUCUGCGAAUCCCGAAAGUUGCAGGAGUGCUCGCAGAGACCGGAACACGGGUGCUGCAUGGCUGUCGUCAGCUCGUGUCGUGAGAUGUUGGGUUAGUCCGCAACGAGCGCAACCCUUGUCGUGUAGUUGCUACGAAGACGCUCUAAUGAGACUGCCGGUGACAAACCAGGAGAGCGGGGAUGACGUCAGGAUCUCGGCCCUUAUGGGUAGGGCUUCACACGUCAUACAAUGGUCGGGACAGAGGGUCGCAGCCGCGAGGAGCCAAUCCCAGAAACCCGAUCGUGUGAUCCGGAUCGCAGUCUGCAACUCGACUGCGUGAAGUCGGAAUCGCUAGUAAUCGCGGAUCAGCAUGUCGCGGUGAAUACGUUCCCGGGUCUUGUACACACCGCCCGUCACACCAUGGGAAUUAGGUUUUACCAGAAGUAGUUAGCCUAACCGUAAGGAGGGCGAUUACCACGGUAGGAUUCGGCUGGGGUGAUCGUAACAAGGUAA
rnacentral:rRNA from 1 species